rnacentral:rRNA from 1 species
AUGCCAAUUAAUUUAACUUGGGAGUCAGAACAUGGGUGAUAAGGUCCGUGUUCGAAAGGGAAACAGCCCAGACCACCAGCUAAGGUCCCAAAAUAUAUGUUAAGUGGAAAAGGAUGUGGCGUUGCCCAGACAACUAGGAUGUUGGCUUAGAAGCAGCCAUCAUUUAAAGAGUGCGUAAUAGCUCACUAGUCGAGUGACACUGCGCCGAAAAUGUACCGGGGCUAAACAUAUUACCGAAGCUGUGGAUUGUCCUUUGGACAAUGGUAGGAGAGCGUUCUAAGGGCGUUGAAGCAUGAUCGUAAGGACAUGUGGAGCGCUUAGAAGUGAGAAUGCCGGUGUGAGUAGCGAAAGACGGGUGAGAAUCCCGUCCACCGAUUGACUAAGGUUUCCAGAGGAAGGCUCGUCCGCUCUGGGUUAGUCGGGUCCUAAGCUGAGGCCGACAGGCGUAGGCGAUGGAUAACAGGUUGAUAUUCCUGUACCACCUAUAAUCGUUUUAAUCGAUGGGGGGACGCAGUAGGAUAGGCGAAGCGU